AGGUUCUAACUCUGUCCCGUGAUCCGGGACGAGGACCGUGUCUGGUGGGUAGUUUGACUGGGGCGGUCUCCUCCCAAAGCGUAACGGAGGAGCACAAAGGUGGGCUAAGCAUGGUCGGACAUCAUGCGGUUAGUGUAAUGGCACAAGCCCGCUUAACUGCGAGACAGACACGUCGAGCAGGUACGAAAGUAGGUCAUAGUGAUCCGGUGGUUCUGUAUGGAAGGGCCAUCGCUCAACGGAUAAAAGGUACUCCGGGGAUAACAGGCUGAUACCGCCCAAGAGUUCAUAUCGACGGCGGUGUUUGGCACCUCGAUGUCGGCUCAUCACAUCCUGGGGCUGAAGUCGGUCCCAAGGGUAUGGCUGUUCGCCAUUUAAAGUGGUACGCGAGCUGGGUUUAGAACGUCGUGAGACAGUUCGGUCCCUAUCUGGUGUGGGCGUUGGAUGAUUGAUGGGAGCUGCUCCUAGUACGAGAGGGCCGGAGUGGACGAACCGCUGGUGUUCGGGUUGUUUUGCCAAAGGCAUUGCCCGGUAGCUACGUUCGGAAUCGAUAACCGCUGAAAGCAUCUAAGCGGGAAGCGAGCCCCAAGAUGAGUCAUCCCUGUACAUUUAAUGUACCUAAAGGGUUGUUGAAGACUACGACGUUGAUAGGCAGGGUGUGGAAGCGUAGCAAUGCGUUGAGCUAACCUGUACUAAUUGCCCGUGAGGCUUAACC
rnacentral:rRNA from 14 species